AGAAAUCGCUGCUAAAACCCAAUGUGCAUAUAAUGUGAAAUACUUGUAGCCAGAAGAGGAGCUCGCGUCCGAUUAGUUAGUUGGUGGGGUAAAAGCCUACCAAGGCAGCGAUCGGUAGCUGGUCUGAGAGGAUGAGCAGCCACACUGGGACUGAGACACGGCCCAGACUCCUACGGGAGGCAGCAGUGGGGAAUUUUCCGCAAUGGGCGAAAGCCUGACGGAGCAAUACCGCGUGAGGGAGGAAGGCUUUUGGGUUGUAAACCUCUUUUAUAAAGGAAGAGAAAAAUGACGGUACUUUAAGAAUCAGCAUCGGCUAACUCCGUGCCAGCAGCCGCGGUAAUACGGAGGAUGCAAGCGUUAUCCGGAAUCAUUGGGCGUAAAGCGUCCGCAGGUGGUUCGUCAAGUCUGCUGUUAAAGACAGAAGCUCAACUUCUGAAAAGCAGUGGAAACUGGGGAACUAGAGUACGGUAGGGGUUGAGGGAAUUCCCAGUGUAGCGGUGAAAUGCGUAGAUAUUGGGAAGAACACCAGUGGCGAAGGCGCUCAACUGGGCCGUAACUGACACUCAGGGACGAAAGCU
rnacentral:rRNA from 1 species